rnacentral:misc_RNA from 1 species
AGAAGAAGAAGAAGAAGAAGAGUGGUCUGCCAAGAGCUAUGGAAGGUAUAGCAGUAGAAUUGCAUUGCCUGAGAACAUUGAGUUUAAGAAUAUCAAAGCUGAGGUUAAGGAUGGAGUCUUGUAUAUAAACAUCCCUAAAGCUAGUCCCACUGGCAGGAUUCUUGAUAUCGAUGUCAAGUGAUGAGUUUAGUUUAUAUAUGCAAAUAGCUUUUUGGUUUACUGUAAAAAUUUCCUUGGUUUUUGUUGGUUUAACAUUGAAGAAAUGUCUUGGAUGUAAACAGAACAGUUGUCUAAUCAUAUGCUCAUUGAGUGGAUUAGCAUCGUUCAAUUUGUAAAAAAUAUUUAAUUCGACUUUUUCUUUUCUCUCGCCAGGGCCUUUGUCCUGAGGUAACAGACAGCUGUAUUUAUCGUUCAGCGUCUCCUUUGCUUUAGUGGGUAGACGAAACCCUCCUUAUCCUCUAUCAUAGAAGUGGUGUGUUAGGGAAGAUAAUGAGUAGGGUAGUGUUUAAUUAAUUUACUCAAAUUUAAAAUUGUUUUAAAUUUGAGUAAAAUUUAUUUUUAAUUAUUUAUAUUUAUUAU